AGGAUGAACGCUGGCGGCGUGCUUAACACAUGCAAGUCGAGCGAAGCACCUUGACUUCUUCGGAAUGAUUGGUGACUUAGUGGCGGACGGGUGAGUAACGCGUGAGUAACCUGCCUUUCAGAGGGGGAUAACAGUUGGAAACGACUGCUAAUACCGCAUAACGUACCGAGAUCGCAUGAUCUUGAUACCAAAGCUGAGGCGCUGAAAGAUGGACUCGCGUCUGAUUAGAUAGUUGGUGGGGUAACGGCCUACCAAGUCGACGAUCAGUAGCCGGACUGAGAGGUUGAUCGGCCACAUUGGGACUGAGACACGGCCCAGACUCCUACGGGAGGCAGCAGUGGGGAAUAUUGCACAAUGGGCGCAAGCCUGAUGCAGCAACGCCGCGUGAGGGAAGACGGUUUUCGGAUUGUAAACUUCUUUUAGCAGGGACGAAGAACGUGACGGUACCUGCAGAAAAAGCAACGGCUAACUACGUG
rnacentral:rRNA from 1 species